rnacentral:rRNA from 1 species
UACGGAGGGUGCAAGCGUUACUCGGAAUCACUGGGCGUAAAGGGUGCGUAGGCGGGUUAUCAAGUCUCGAGUGAAAUCCAACGGCUUAACCGUUGAACUGCUUGGGAAACUGGUAGCCUAGAGUGAGGGAGAGGGUAGUGGAAUUUCGAGUGUAGGGGUGAAAUCCGUAGAGAUCACCAGGAAUACCCAUUGCGAAGGCGAUCUGCUGGAACUCAACUGACGCUGAGGCACGAAAGCGUGGGGAG